UACGGGAGGCAGCAGUGGGGAAUAUUGGACAAUGGGCGAAAGCCUGAUCCAGCCAUGCCGCAUGAGUGAAGAAGGCCUUCGGGUUGUAAAGCUCUUUUAGUGAGAAAGAUAAUGACGGUACUCACAGAAGAAGUCCUGGCUAACUCCGUGCCAGCAGCCGCGGUAAUACGGAGAGGGCUAGCGUUAUUCGGAAUUAUUGGGCGUAAAGAGCGCGUAGGCUGAUUAGUAAGUUAAAAGUGAAAUCCCAAAGCUUAACUUUGGAAUUGCUUUUUAAAAACUGCUAGUCUAGAGAUUGAAAGAGGAUAGAGGAAUUCCUAGUGUAGAGGUGAAAUUCGUAAAUAUUAGGAGGAACACCAGUGGCGAAAGGCGUCUAUCUGGUUCAAAUCUGACGCUGAGGCGCGAAAGGGCUGGGGGAGCAAAACAGGGAUUAGAUACC
rnacentral:rRNA from 1 species